rnacentral:rRNA from 1 species
AUUGAACGCUGGCGGAAUGCCUAACACAUGCAAGUCGAACGCGAAAGAGGGGCAAUUCUUGAGUAGAGUGGCGGACGGGUGAGUAAUACGUACGCAUCUGCCCUAGAGGGGGGGAUAACCUGUCGCAAGAAGGGCUAAUAACGCAUACUCCCUAAGGAGACACGGUGUCCCAUAGCAAUAUGGGGAUUAGCUUUAGGAUCAGUCUACGUCAGAUUAGCACGUUGGUAGGGUAAUGGCCUAUCAAGGCGACGAUCCGUAGCUGGUCUGAGAGGACGAUCAGCCACACUUGCACUGGGACACGGCACAGACUCCUACGGGGGGCAGCAUUGGGGAAUAUUGUACAAUGGGGGAAACCCUGAUCCAGCAAUGCCGCGUGUGCUAUGAAGGCCUGCGGGUUGUAAAGCACUUUCGGUGGGGAAGAAAUACUCAAAGAUAAUACCUUUGAGGGUUGACGUUACCCACAGAAGAAGCACCGGCAAACUCUGUGCCAGCCGCCGCAGUAA